AUGCUUACCCAAGGUAUCAUUGUGCCCAGAUCUAGCCCCUUUGCUUCACCAGUACUGCUAGUUCAGAAGAAAGAUUUGUCUUGGCGUUUCUGUGUGGACUACCGACAACUCAACGUGGUGACAGUCAAAAACCGCUAUCCUCUGCCCGUCAUCGAUGAGCUCCUGGACAAGGUGGCUAGUUCCACGUUGUUCACUAGUCUGGACCUCCGGGCCGGAUAUCAUCAGAUAGAAUGA
rnacentral:rRNA from 1 species